UACGAAGGGGGCUAGCGUUGCUCGGAAUCACUGGGCGUAAAGCGCACGUAGGCGGAUCGCUAAGUCAGGGGUGAAGUCCUGGAGCUCAACUCCAGAACUGCCUUUGAUACUGGCAAUCUCGAGUCCGGGAGAGGUGAGUGGAACUGCGAGUGUAGAGGUGAAAUGCGCAGAUAUCAGGAGGAACACCAAUGGCGAAGGCAGCUCGCUGGGACGGUACUGACGCUGAGACGCGAAAGCGUGGGGAGCAAACAGG
rnacentral:rRNA from 1 species